AGAGCGAACGCUGGCGGCGUGCUUAACACAUGCAAGUCGCACGGAUGGGGGCAACUCCAUCAGUGGCGGACGGGUGAGUAAGGCAUCGGAAUCUGCCCUGAUGUGGGGGAUAACGUAGGGAAACUUACGCUAAUACCGCGUACGACCGAGAGGUGAAAGCGGGGGACCGAAAGGCCUCGCGCAGCAGGAUGAGCCGAUGUCCGAUUAGCUGGUUGGUGGGGUAACGGCCCACCAAGGCGACGAUCGGUAGCUGGUCUGAGAGGAUGAUCAGCCACACUGGGACUGAGACACGGCCCAGACUCCUACGGGAGGCAGC
rnacentral:rRNA from 1 species